UACGUAGGGGGCUAGCGUUGUCCGGAAUCAUUGGGCGUAAAGCGCGUGUAGGCGGCCAGGUAAGUCCGUUCUGAAAGCCCGGGGCUCAACCCCGGGAGGCGGAUGGAUACUGCUUGGCUCGAGUCCGGAAGAGGCGAGUGGAAUUCCCGGUGUAGCGGUGAAAUGCGCAGAUAUCGGGAGGAACACCAAUGGCGAAGGCAGCUCGCUGGGACGGUACUGACGCUGAGACGCGAAAGCGUGGGGAGCAAACAGG
rnacentral:rRNA from 1 species